UGCCCUAGUAACGGCGAGUGAAGCGGCAACAGCUCAAAUUUGAAAUCUGGCCCUAGCGGUCCGAGUUGUAAUUUGUAGAGGAUGCUUUUGGUGAGGUGCCUUCCGAGUUCCCUGGAACGGGACGCCGGAGAGGGUGAGAGCCCCGUACGGUUGGACGCCAAACCUCUGUAUAGCUCCUUCGACGAGUCGAGUAGUUUGGGAAUGCUGCUCUAAAUGGGAGGUAAAUUUCUUCUAAAGCUAAAUACCGGCCAGAGACCGAUAGCGCACAAGUAGAGUGAUCGAAAGAUGAAAAGCACUUUGAAAAGAGGGUUAAAUAGCACGUGAAAUUGUUGAAAGGGAAGCGUUUGCGACCAGACUUUUUCCAGGCGGAUCAUCCGGCGUUCUCGCCGGUGCACUCCGCCUGGUUGAGGCCAGCAUCGGUUUCCUUAGGGGGAUAAAGGCCUGGGGAACGUAGCUCCUUCGGGAGUGUUAUAGCCCCUGGCGUAAUACCCCUCGGGGGACCGAGGAACGCGCUCUGCAAGGAUGCUGGCGUAAUGGUCGUCAACGACCCGUCUUGAAACACGGACCAAGGAGUCGAACAUUUGUGCGAGUGUUUGGGUGUCAAACCCUCACGCGUAAUGAAAGUGAACGGAGGUGAGAGCCCUUACGGGUGCAUCAUCGACCGAUCCUGAUGUCUUCGGAUGGAUUUGAGUAAGAGCAUAACUGUUCGGACCCGAAAGAUGGUGAACUAUGCGUGGAUAGGGUGAAGCCAGAGGAAACUCUGGUGGAGGCUCGCAGCGGUUCUGACGUGCAAAUCGAUCGUCAAAUCUGCGCAUGGGGGCGAAAGACUUAUCGAACCAUCUAGUAGCUGGUUACCGCCGAAGUUUCCCCUCAGGAA
rnacentral:rRNA from 1 species